GGCAUAUAAUUCAGCGCAUCCUGGACAUAAGCAGACAGAUAAGUAAUCCAGUGAAAAAUACUCCUUACAAAGUAUCAAAAUGUAAGGUAAAAGAAAAGAGGUGAUGUAGCUUUUGUCAUACAAGAUGUGUCUGUACAGCAGUGACUGCAGCUCAGCAAUGCUACCUGGUCUACCUCUGAACUAGUGUCCUCAGGCUUCCUAGCAAGACAGCUCUACAAGCAAAUAAUUUAGUAAAGGUAAAAAGUCAGGGUAUUUUUCAGGUUUUUUGACCUGACUAUCUUGAACUGUGAGGCUCCUGCAUAACCAGUAUAGUGACUGUGAUGCCUGUGCUAGCUAGCCUGUUUGGGGGUGGGUAAAGCAACACAAGCUGCAGUCAUAGACAUACAUGUGUUGUGUCCUAGCCAGAUGUUGACCUCAAAGCUCUGAGCUGUGAAGGCACUAGAGGUAUACUGCAGUUUCAAUGAUAAAAAUCUGUGAGUGGAUGCCUGAUAAUUGGCUAACUACCUCAUAAAUAACAGAAGAGUUUAAAGAUCACUUUUAGAUUUGAGGAAGCAUUAUGAAAAACAGCAUUAAUGUUAGAUAGGUUUCUGAACUUUAAAAAGUGCAGUCUAUAUUUGUUAUCUUGCCCAUUACCCGUAGGUGCUAGAAAUGUAUUUCCUGUCAGGCUCAACAGCUAUAAUGGUGACUCUUGCACUAUCUAGCAGAUCUCACCAUAAAGUUCUCUGCUAUAGACAGUGGCAAGAUGAUGAAUCUGUGCAAGAUUUCUAAUGAGAUUGCCUGAAACCUUGUUUUACUAUUGUUGCCUUGGUCCUGAUCUGGUUAACUACUCUUUAAGUUAGGGAAACACUAGUCCCAUACUCUCAGCUAAUUAGACACAAGGAACGGGUUUAUAUGAAUUAAAAGUAUGCCAGGGUUUUGAUUAAGUCAGAUAUUCACGGAAGUCUCAGGUUUUUUUCAUAGUAUAAUCCGGUGGCCUGUAAAAGUUCAGCCUUUAAGGAUUUUCCUUUUGAUUACUUUUUCAGAAUGAAAGAAUGGAAGAAUUUUGCCUGAACUGCACAAUGUUAUGCCUUUUCCUGAUGCCAGUGGCUUUGAGUGGGGGCCCUGAUCUCCCAAACACUUUGGUUUUCUUAUGUUCCCCAAUUCUGAAAACCUGUCAAGCAUACAGCCAGGGAGGGUUGGAGAGCACUUACUCCAGUUUCAAGCAGAAGAGAAUCUUAAAACUUCAAGGAUCAGAACACCAGAGCAUCUUCAUUGACAAGUCAGUGCUUCCUGUAACAGAAGGAUAUAAAUCUGUGCCAUAAGGAGUGGAAGAAGAAAAAAUAUUUAACUGUUAUGUGACUGUAACAGUUACAAUGACCGUCUGUAUAAAUAGUAUACGUGAAUCAACUUUCCAAGAUGACCCUCCAAGGAGUGCACAAAAGAGCUCUGGAGAGCUUGAGGGUGGUAUGGGCAGCCUGCCCUGAGAAGCACCCUAUCUUGCCAUGGGCUGAGCCCAUGACCUGCCUGCACAUGUUGUGAUACCUCUUCCCCUGGGGCUACUCUGCAUGCCACGGGGCUGUGAACCACACUGCAGGUGCCAAGCAUCUCUACAGGUGGAGAAAAAUCCCAGGGAAGCAGGGUAAAAGCACAGACUUCUGCAAGAAUGCAUGCUGUUCCCUACCCAUUUCAUGCAUCCUGCUGUGCAGCCCAAUCAAAGCCCCACUUAGGAGGAACAGUGCUAAUCCUGGAUCUCUUGUUCCCAUCAGCAUGCAUCAACCAGUCGGGCUGCUGCUGAUGUGGGGAGGCACAGCUCUACCUUCUUUGCUCCUGAGCACUUUCUGCUGCUGGCUUUGCUUGUCUACUUGCUGUUUAUAGUAAGGACUCCUUAGAGAUGUAAACUCAUUAAUCACACCCAAGCCACACUUCCCUGGUUCCACUUAUAGCGUCUUCCCUCUCUAUUCCUUUUCACAGCUCCCACCUUAGUCAGUACUCAGUUCUUGGCAUCUGGGCUUUGUUUUUAUUUAAGCUUGAAACCGAUAAAGCGUGAGAAAAGGGGAAAAUUCAGAAAGGCAGACCAAUAUAAUAAGCAAAGUGUAUGUAGGGUACAUUUAAUGUUAGACUACUUGGCCUAAAGUGUAUGGGCAGAAGACUGGCAGCAAAGCUAUUGCAUUAAUUGAAAUAGAGACCAUUUACCCUAAAAAGUUAAAAGGCACAGGACAGACAAACAGGAGCCCUUUCAUCCUCUUGGGACUUCUUGUGUCCUGCCAGCAGCUGAGAUUGCUUUCCUGCCCUUAGCACUGGUCAGUCCAGUGCUGAUCCUUGGCCACCAGCCUGGCUGGGAGUCCCAUGGGCAGCCCACAAGAGGAGGGGAAGUGACAUGAAAUCUAAAAGUCUUUGCAGAGGUAUUUAGGUGCCUGAAGGUGCAGAGAGGCACUUAGUAGCCUUUCGGAAAUUCCUCAGGAGAUUGGAGGGAGAGAGGAGGAAAAUUCCCAUCUCGGGAAUUGAGUUUGAAGAGCCUGACCCACCUCAAGGCCUUGGAAAACCUCACCAGGCACCUCUCUUCAUGUCUAGACUCUUAAAUAUCUUGGAAAAUCUGCUCCAAAGUGGUUAUUACUUCUUUUGAGCAGUUUCUGCCUGCCCAAGGCUGGGAACAGAGUCUCAGCAGAAUCCCUUCUUGCUGUGUGAAGCUGCUGCCAUACCACUACAGUGUGAGUGAUGUACAGAUCCCAGGGAAGACAUUACUCCAGCAGCAUGUUUCUAGCUGACAUUGAUUUGCAAUAGGGCUGUCAACAGCAGCUAGAGACCCCUGAUCCUGGAAAACAAUAUGUCAGUUGCCUGGGUUGGUUUUAAUUCUUUAAUCCUUUGUCUGCAACCUAACAUGUUGCAGCAUUGCUUAGAGAUGAGAUGUGCCACUGCUGCUGCUUUACUCUUGCUGUUUUGGAG